AAACUUUUCUGCAGGUCCCUUUUCAUUGACGUGUUGAAGCUUCGGGAGAAGAAAGUGGGUGUAGGCAGAUGAUAAGGAAGUAGAGGAGCUGGAAAAAGCUACGCACUUCUUAUGUUUAGCUGCGUCAGUACUUUGAAAAUUUUUCCUUUUCUUUUUGCCUGAAAUAGACCGCAGUGCAGAUACAGAUGCUUGAUUAAAGUUUUCACAUUUGGAGGCUGAAUCAGGUUUUCGUUCUGGUUUCUGCUCCGUUUGAUCCAACCGGGAAAAGGGCAGCUGAGUGAAAAAUGGCAUUUUGGAGAGCUGCUGUCCUCCAGAUGCUGGCUGUGGUUCUCUGUCCUGCAGCUGUUACGGCCCUUGGACUUCUCUUGCCUCAUCCCCUGUCGGACUGCUCCUGCCUUGUGAUCUCCUGGUUUUUGACCUGUUUUGGAACGACCACGGAUAUUUGCCUGCCCCAGCUAAGUAGUCUGCCUGCUACCCCUGUUUAUGACUCUUGGCUUCUUAAAUCUCUGCUCAUUUGGAUUGUGGAUCAUCCUGACUGUUUCUGGAGCCCUUUCAGGAUAUUAUUCCCUGCUUUACCUGAGGAAGGCGCCACCGCUUCCUACUGGACCAAACCCUGCUCAUCUCCUCCAUUAACCAGACUAAAUAAAAUACUUUCUUGGAAUCUGUGUCAGGAAAGAACUUAAAACUACUAAUGAAAAUAAUAGAACAAGAAAUGGUACUACUUCAGAAAUGGUUCAGUGAAAAUAAAUUGUCUUUAAAUUUAAGUAAAACAAGGUUUAUGCUGUUUACAAACCAAAAAUGCCCUGAAAAUAUUGAUUUAAGUUUAAAUGGAAUCAGUAUAAAGAGGGUGUCUGAAUUUAGAUUUUUAGGAGUAGUUAUUGAUGAAAAAUUAAAAUGGAAGUCACACAUAGCAUUCGUUAAAAAGAAAAUUUGUAAAAACAUUGCUGUGUUGAGUAAGGUCAAGUUUAUGUUAAAUUAUAAGGCAAUGCGAAUUCUCUACUGUUCUCUUAUUUUGCCAUACUUGAUGUACUGUUUGGAAGUGUGGGGUAAUUCCUAUAGCACCAAUCUAAGCCCUCUAAUUGUCUUACAAAAGAGGGCAAUACGAAUAAUUAAUAAAACUGCUCCUAAAGAGUCGACAACAGGAUUGUUUCUGAAGUCAGGACUGUUAAAAUUGCAAGACAUGGUUGUGAUGAAAACAUUAUUAGUAAUAUAUAAAGCUAGACAUUUCUUGUUGCCACUUGGACUACAAACGCUUUUUAUCCUAAAUGAUGAAUCAAGUAGACGAUGUUGUGAUUUUCAACUUCCUUUUGCAAGAACUACACUCAAACAAAUGAGUGUUUCAGUGGUUGGUGUAAAACAAUGGAACUCACUUAAAACAGAUCUUAAAUGUUGUUCAAAUAUUCUCCAAUUUAAAUAUAAAUAUAAAGAGUAUAUAAUUAAAAUGUAUGAAAAGAAUUGUCUGAAUGGUUAAGAAAAUAGAGGCAUCUGCUGGAUGUAUUUGUGUUUUAAGAAUCUACUGUUGAUGAGGCUGUCCUGUUCGUUUAGAAAUGAGGAUGGGGUAGGAGUUAAUAAGAUUAAUUCUUCUUCCUACUCCAAUUCUCUCUGUUUUUUGUUUUUUUUGUUUUUUUCUCUCUUUCUAUAGAAUGUAUUACAAUUGUUGUAUUUAAAUUAUUGAAAUUAUGAAAUGUUUUGUUUUGAAUUUGAUGCAUUAACGUGGGAA